rnacentral:lncRNA from 1 species
AUUAACAAUGUUGUGAUAUUUUCAGUAAAGGGACUUGGCCGGACAUAUCCACGUAUUGGAGCUUCCCUGCUGGCAGAGACGGUAAUGAAUCUGCUCGAAAUGCAGGAGACCUGGGUUCCAUCCCUGGGUCGGGAAGAUCCCCUGGAGGAGGGCAUGGCAACCCACUCCAGUAUGCUUGCCUGGAGAAUCCCAGGGUCAGGGGAGCCUGGUGGGCUACAGUCCACGGGGUCGCGGGACGCGGCUGGUUCUUUGAGUUUUCCAAACCAUACAUCAUUGUCAAGCGAGAAGAUUAAACUUAUUGUUUCUUUCUUGAACCCGCAACUCAAGGACCGGUGAUCAAGCAGAAGGUACCGCCCAUGGAGGACUUGCAGUUAAAAUCCAGGCUGUUCUGUGUCACACGAGGCCACCCCCUGCUUGUACCCCUCCCCUCGAAUUUUUUUUUUCUUUUCCCAUCAUCUCACAAAUCCUUGGAUAGAAAGUUUUUUUUUUUCCUUUCCCUGCUUCUUCGAGGCAGAGCUUGUAAUAAUAAUAAACCAUCUGGCUUACUCA